CCAGGAGCAUGCUCUUUAACGCAUCCAUUAGCACUCCGGAAAUCCGCGGGGUGUCAGGAUUCAGUCUGAGAGGGCUCAGUAGACCUAAAGUUGCUUUCGCUGCUGUUGUCUUGCUGCUUGGAGGUAGCGGGAAGAUUCUCAUCCGGGAAGUUCUUACAAAGAAACUACUGUGUCGCCAUGGGAAACUAGUUUAACGAGCUUUCCCCUGGAGACGUCUUAUUUUACCUUCCAGACUGCUCCCUCAGCCGAAAACGUGAUUGGACCUAACUCACGAAGGAAGAUUGAAAGCAUUACUGCCUGGAAGGCACUCAGGACUGCCUAGAAUAAACUAAAUAUAAUAGAAGCUUAAUCUGCCAGCACCAAAAUGUUUUUGCUG